AGCUACUGAAGAGUGCCUGCCAUACCUGGGAAUGCCAAGAACGGAACACAAGGGGUCGGCAACCUUGAACACUCAAAGAGCCAUUUGGACCCGUUUCCCACUGAAAAGAAAACACCGGGAGCCACAAAGGUCCUAACCGAAAGUCCCCCCCCCCGUUCAAUUCUGGAGCUGACCGGAAGUCUCCUCCUGGUGUGCUGUGCUUCCCCUCUCCCAACCGGGAAGGUCCUCUCAAAAUUGUGGUGCUGACCGGUGACAGGGAACCGCAACAGAGGGAUGAAAGAGCCACAUGCGGCUCCAGAGCCACGGGUUGCCGACUCCUGCUCUAACAGGACAUGGUGUUUUGCUCCAUGAUGAUUCUAAGAUUAACUCUGCAAACAAAACUUGGCAGCCUGGAGGGGCAGUCACAAUCCAUAGAUGUCAUUUCUUCAUAACACUCUCCAUCAUAUCCAAGAACCAUCAUAUCUGCUGAAAAUGUGACCCUGGGACCUGGGAAACUUGCCAUGCCUGUUUCAACUGGAUGGUAUGACAGUCCAGAGGGCGAGCAGCGACCAAAGCAAUUGUGAUAACCUUCAGAGGAGCAUUUCAAAAUCCAAGGUCUGUCCAGGGUAGGUACCCAACAUCAAUACAAGACUGAAAAGAUAUCAGUCCUUCCUUUUCAUAAUCGUGAUUUCCAGCAAUUUGACUUGCAAGCCCAUUAAAUCAGAGGACUGGGAAAGGGGUUUGUGGAAUGGAGGAGGGGGGAAGUGGAGGAGGAUGACGACUAUGGAGUCCUUGGUGCUCUCUGGGCUUGCUUGUUUUCUUGCAGACUUUUCAUUACCUAA